AGUGAACGCUGGCGGUAGGCCUAACACAUGCAAGUCGAACGGCAGCACAGUAAGAGCUUGCUCUUACGGGUGGCGAGUGGCGGACGGGUGAGGAAUACAUCGGAAUCUACUUUUUCGUGGGGGAUAACGUAGGGAAACUUACGCUAAUACCGCAUACGACCUACGGGUGAAAGCAGGGGAUCUUCGGACCUUGCGCGAUUGAAUGAGCCGAUGUUGGAUUAGCUAGUUGGCGGGGUAAAGGCCCACCAAGGCGACGAUCCGUAGCCGGUCUGAGAGGAUGAUCAGCCACACUGGAACUGAGACACGGUCCAGACUCCUACGGGAGGCAGCAGUGGGGAAUAUUGGACAAUGGGCGCAAGCCUGAUCCAGCCAUACCGCGUGGGUGAAGAAGGCCUUCGGGUUGUAAAGCCCUUUUGUUGGGAAAGAAAAGCAGCAGGUUAAUACCCCGCUGUUCUGACGGUACCCAAAGAAUAAGCACCGGCUAACUUCGUG
rnacentral:rRNA from 1 species